rnacentral:rRNA from 1 species
AUUGAACGCUGGCGGCAGGCCUAACACAUGCAAGUCGAACGAGUGGCGGACGGGUGCGUAAUGUCUGGGAAACUGCCAGAUGGAGGGGGAUAACUACUGUCAAAGGUAGCGUAUACCGUAUACUAUCGGAUGUGCCCAUAUGGGAUUAGCUAGUAGGGUGGGUAAUGGCUCAACUAGGCGACGAUCCCUAGCUGGUCUGAGAGGAUGACCAGCCACACUGGGAAUGAGACACGGUCCAGACUCCUACGGGAGGUAGCAGUGGGGGAUAUUGCACAAUGGGCGCAAGCCUGAUGCAGCCAUGCCGCGUGUAUGACGAAGGCCUUCGGGUUGUAAAGUACUUUCAGCGGGGAGGCGUUACUCGCAGAAGAAGCACCGGCUAACUCCGUGCCAGCAGCCGCGGUAAUAC